rnacentral:rRNA from 1 species
AUGGACGUAGCUAGCGCACUGCUGCCGGUCCUAAGCUCCAAGCCGGACAGGUCGAGGCCGGCAAUGGAGGUUCAGAUCCUAAGCUCCAAGCUCGUCAAGCCAGCUGCGUCGACCGAUGCCGCCGCCGUGGACGAGUACGUCCCUCUCUCCACCUUCGACAGGGUAACGUACCAGAUCCAAAUGGCCAUCAUCUACGUCUUCGCGCCGCCGGUCCCCUCCACGGCCGCCCUCGAGAAGGGCCUAGCCGUGGCGCUCGCCCAGUACCGCGUCUUCGCGGGGCAACUAGUCGUCCGCGGGGAGGCACCCGGUGGAGGCCCGGCGGUGCUGCUCAACGACCACGGCGCGCGCGUCGUGGAGGCGUCCGUGGACGCCGAUCUCGUCGACGUGGCGCCGCCCAAGCCCAAGCCGGAGCUGCUGUGGCUGCACCCGAACCUGGAGGAGGCGAUGGAUGAGGUGGUGGUGCUGCAGCUCACACGGUUCCGCUGCGGCUCCCUCGCCGUCGGGUUCACGGCCAACCACGCCGUCACCGACGGCCGUGGCACCAGCAACUUCCUCGUCGCCUGGGGGCGCGCCACCAGGGGACUAGCCAUGGGCCUCCCCCCCGUGUACAACCACGACGAGCUCUUCAUGCCCCGAUCCGUGUCCCGCGUCGAGUUCGACCACCGCAAUCGGGAGUAUUACCUGCCACCGUUGCUCACCAACAUCGGCAGCGAGGCCGUCGACGACGUCAAGAAGAACAGCAUCGUCAUCCACAAGACGCAUUUCACCAAGGACUGGAUAACACUUCUCCGUGCCAGAGCGUCGGAAGGCCUUGACCGCCCGUUCAGCCGGUUCGAGACAAUCCUCGCCCACCUGUGGCGCGCCAUGACGCGCGCGCGGGGCCUUGGCCACAACGAGACAUCUACGAUCCGGCUGUCGGUGGACGGCCGCGACCGCCUCGGCGUGCCGGCGGAGUACGCCGGUAAUCUCGUCCUGUGGGCGUUCCCGCAAGCCACGGCGGGCGACCUGCUGAACCGGCCGCUGAAGCAUGCGGCGCAGGUCAUUCACAACGAGGUGGCGAGGGUGGCUGACGCCGACUACUUCCGGUCAUUCGUGGACUUCGCGAGCUCCGGCACCGUCGAAGAGGAAGGACUCGCACCAAGCGCCGCGUUGAACCUGAGAGAAGUGCUGUGCCCGGACCUGGAGGUGCACAGCUGGCUCACCUUCCCGUUCUACGACCUGGACUUCGGCACGGGGACGCCUUCGUACGUGAUGCCGUCCUACUUCCCGGCAGAGGGGCUCAUCUUCCUCAUGCCAUCCUACAUCGGCGACGGUAGUGUGGAUGCCUUCGUGCCGGUGUUUCAGUGCAACGUCGAGGCCUUCAAACAAUGCGUCUACUGCAUCUCAAUGAAUGAUAUGGAGUAG